AGGAGACUAUGUUCUGGCUGUUCAUGUGCAGGAAUCAGAUGAUACAUUUGAUCCUAACACCUUUUACAUCCAUGAAGAUCUCUGCAAGUCUAAGCAGGUGAGCUUUUUUGACCAUUUAGACAACAUAGUUGAGUUAAAUUUCUGAGAACUUUUGAUGCCCUGAUUGUUAGGAUGUUUGAUACCUUUGGUUGAUGACAUGCUCAGGUGGAUUUUGAAGUCAAGGUUUGUCCACGAAACUGUUACAUUGCUGAAUUAAGCCACCAAGUUCGAAUAAAUUUUGCAACAAUUCUUGCAGUGGGAUGCACAAGUCUGUGGUAUGGCCAUCAUCUAUAUUUCAUAUGGUAAUUCAAAAUAAAUUCUGCAUUUUUUGCUCUAAACAGUUAUUGUUUUCAGGCCAAAAGAUUCAACAAUUGCAAAAUGUUUGAAAGCAUUACCUCCCACUUGCACCCUUCUAGUAAUGGAUAAUGGAGGAAAAAUCUUAUUCCAGAAAGAGGGAUCUUCCCAGGAAGGAUCUUCUAUUAAACUUCUUA
rnacentral:lncRNA from 1 species